rnacentral:rRNA from 1 species
GAUGAACGCUAGCGGCAGGCUUAAUACAUGCAAGGCGAGGGGCAGCAAUGUCACCGUCGUACGGGUGCGUAACGCGUAUGCAACCUACCUUAUUGUGGGGGAUAACGCAGCGAAAGCUGUGCUAAUACCGCAUAAUCCCUUAGGGGGGAAAGCGGGGGGACCCGUAAGGCCUCGCGCAAUUAGAGCGGCCGAUACCUGAUUAGCUAGUUGGUGAGGUAAAAGGCUCACCAAGGCAACGACGGGUAGCCGGCCUGAGAGGGCGACCGGCCACACUGGGACUGAGACACGGCCCAGACUCCUACGGGAGGCAGCAGUGGGGAAUAUUGGGCAAUGGACGCAAGUCUGACCCAGCGACGCCGCGUGCGGGAUGAAGGCCUUAGGGUUGUAAACCGCUUUCAGCAGGGAAGAAGCGAAAGUGACGGUACCUGCAAAAGAAGCACCGGCUAACUAUGUG